UACGAAGGGGGCUAGCGUUGCUCGGAAUCACUGGGCGUAAAGCGCACGUAGGCGGACUCUUAAGUCGGGGGUGAAAGCCCAGGGCUCAACCCUGGAAUUGCCUUCGAUACUGGGAGUCUUGAGUGUGGCAGAGAUUGGUGGAACUGCGAGUGUAGAGGUGAAAUUCGUAGAUAUUCGCAAGAACACCAGUGGCGAAGGCGGCCAACUGGGCCAUCACUGACGCUGAGGUGCGAAAGCGUGGGGAGCAAACAGG
rnacentral:rRNA from 1 species